rnacentral:rRNA from 1 species
AUUGAACGCUGGCGGCAGGCCUAACACAUGCAAGUCGAGCGGAUGAAGGGAGCUUGCUCUUGGAUUCAGCGGCGGACGGGUGAGUAAUGCCUAGGAAUCUGCCUGGUAGUGGGGGAUAACGUCCGGAAACGGGCGCUAAUACCGCAUACGUCCUGCGGGAGAAAGUGGGGGAUCUUCGGACCUCACGCUAUCAGAUGAGCCUAGGUCGGAUUAGCUAGUGGGUGUGGUAAAGGCCUACCAAGGCGACGAUCCGUAACUGGUCUGAGAGGAUGAUCAGUCACACUGACACUAAGAAACAGUCCCGACUCCUACGGGAGGCAGCAGUGGGGAAGAUUGGACAAUGAGCGAAAGCCUGAUCCAGCCAUGCCGCGUGUUUGAAGAAGGUCUUCGGAUUGUAAAGCACUUUAAGUUGGGAGGAAGGGCAGUAAGUUAAUACCUUGCUGUUUUGACGUUACCAACAGAAUAAGCACCGGCUAACUUCGUG